GACUCUGGGAUAAGCCUGGGAAACCGGGUCUAAUACCGGAUACGACCUGCCACCGCAUGGUGGUUGGUGGAAAGAUUUUAUUGGUUUUGGAUGGACUCGCGGCCUAUCAGCUUGUUGGUGAGGUAAUGGCUCACCAAGGCGACGACGGGUAGCCGGCCUGAGAGGGUGACCGGCCACACUGGGACUGAGACACGGCCCAGACUCCUACGGGAGGCAGCAGUGGGGAAUAUUGCACAAUGGGCGAAAGCCUGAUGCAGCGACGCCGCGUGAGGGAUGACGGCCUUCGGGUUGUAAACCUCUUUCAGCAGGGAAGAAGCGAAAGUGACGGUACCUGCAGAAGAAGCGCCGGCUAACUACGUGCCAGCAGCCGCGGUAAUACGUAGGGCGCAAGCGUUGUCCGGAAUUAUUGGGCGUAAAGAGCUCGUAGGCGGUUUGUCGCGUCUGCUGUGAAAGCCCGGGGCUCAACCCCGGGUCUGCAGUGGGUACGGGCAGACUAGAGUGCAGUAGGGGAGACUGGAAUUCCUGGUGUAGCGGUGAAAUGCGCAGAUAUCAGGAGGAACACCGAUGGCGAAGGCAGGUCUCUGGGCUGUAACUGACGCUGAGGAGCGAAAGCAUGGGGAGCGAACAGGAUUAGAUACCCUGGUAGUCCAUGCCGUAAACGUUGGGCACUAGGUGUGGGGGACAUUCCACGUUUUCCGCGCCGUAGCUAACGCAUUAAGUGCCCCGCCUGGGGAGUACGGCCGCAAGGCUAAAACUCAAAGGAAUUGACGGGGGCCCGCACAAGCGGCGGAGCAUGCGGAUUAAUUCGAUGCAACGCGAAGAACCUUACCAAGGCUUGACAUGGACCGGACCGCCGCAGAAAUGCGGUUUCCCUUCGGGGCCGGUUUACAGGUGGUGCAUGGUUGUCGUCAGCUCGUGUCGUGAGAUGUUGGGUUAAGUCCCGCAACGAGCGCAACCCUCGUUCUAUGUUGCCAGCGCGUUAUGGCGGGGACUCAUAGGAGACUGCCGGGGUCAACUCGGAGGAAGGUGGGGACGACGUCAAAUCAUCAUGCCCCUUAUGUCUUGGGCUUCACGCAUGCUACAAUGGCCGGUACAAAGGGUUGCGAUACUGUGAGGUGGAGCUAAUCCCAAAAAGCCGGUCUCAGUUCGGAUUGAGGUCUGCAACUCGACCUCAUGAAGUCGGAGUCGCUAG
rnacentral:rRNA from 1 species